UUUUUGCCACGAAUUUCACGAAUUACUCGAAUUUUACCCUAGAUUAAAGGAAAUAAAUUCGAGUAAUUCGUGAAAUUCGUGGCAAACU
rnacentral:sRNA from 1 species